rnacentral:rRNA from 1 species
AACGAACGCUGGCGGCAGGCUUAACACAUGCAAGUCGAACGCCCCGCAAGGGGAGUGGCAGACGGGUGAGUAACGCGUGGGAAUCUACCCAGUUCUACGGAACAACUGAGGGAAACUUCAGCUAAUACCGUAUACGCCCUACGGGGGAAAGAUCUAUCUGAAUUGGAUGAGCCCGCGUUGGAUUAGCUGGUUGGUGAGGUAACGGCUCACCAAGGCGACGAACCAUAGCUGGUCUGAGAGGAUGAUCAGCCACACUGGGACUGAGACACGGCCCAGACUCCUACGGGAGGCAGCAGUGGGGAAUAUUGGACAAUGGGCGCAAGCCUGAUCCAGCCAUGCCGCGUGAGUGAUGAAGGCCUUAGGGUUGUAAAGCUCUUUCAGUGGGGACGAUAAUGACGGUACCCACAGAAGAAGCCCCGGCUAACUUCGUGCCAGCCGCCGCAGUAA